AGGUUCAGUAGUAACAUAAGGAUUGGAGUCAUUUAACCAAGGAUCCUUGAAAACAUGAACUGAGUCUCUAUUCCCAAUCCGAUAUCGACAACCAUCCCUAACAGCAGAUUGGGCAGCGAAAAUACUACGCCAUAUAAAGCUUGGAUUAUGACCUAGUGAAGCUUCGAGAAAACUAGUUUGUGGAAAAUAUCAAGCCUUGAAUAAUUGAGAGACAAGAGUAUUAGGCUCCACAAUAAAUUUCUAGCCCUGUUUGCCUAGUAGAGCAAUGUUAACAUCAUGGAUGCGUUUGAACCCCAAUCACCCCUACUUUUAGGAAUACACAUACAUUCACAUCUCUUCCAAACUAUUUCGCCCUAUUACCAUUCUUUGAACCCCACCAAUAAGAAUUUAACAUCCUCUGCAAUUCAGCACACAAGUUAAGUGGUAGAAGAAAAACUGACAUAGCAUAAUUCAGAACCACCUGCGCCACUAUUUUCAAUAAUAUUUCUUUACCCGCCUGCGAGAUGAACUUCUUAUUCGAUACAUUACUUCGCCUCCAACCUUUGUCCUUUAUAAAAGAAAAUAUCCCUCUCUUUUCCUGCCUAUGAAAGAAGGUAAACCAAGAUAUUUUUUAUGGCCACCAUCUCUAAUACACCCAAUUGAAAUCGAAUGUACUUCUCCCACCUUCUUACUGAAAUUGGUGUCGGCUAGUUGAAGAAGACUAAGGCCGAAAAAAAAAAGUUGGUAGCUUAACUAUUAGAGAGGGGAGUGAUCCCAAGCUCGAGCUUCAUCCACCUCGGCUUCAAGAUGAAGUCCUUGAAAGUUCUGAUCCUGCUCCUUGCAGCCCUUUGACCUUUCUGCUAUACAGGAGAGCUUGACACAAAGAGGUCAUCGAUAUUAAUAUUCCUUAGGCUGUAGGUAAGUGCCCUGAUCUUCGAACUUACCUCGUGAAGAACUAUAAACAUGCUUCAUCUAUCCAAAUUCCGCCUCUUGCUAAGGAGCUUAUUAAUUUUAUUAACUUUUCUUACGAUCUUAUGAUCUGGAGAAUUGUCAUCUUCAGAACUUGUAUGCUCAGCAAAUGCCUUUAGUUCUUCAAGUAUCCUCUUUGCCUUUGUACUUAUUUUUUUUACAUCAUCUUUUUGUUCUUUUUUUCA